AAGAGAGCCGGUGAAAUUUAAGUUAGUAACACAUGUCACGCAUAUAACCGUUUUGCCGAACUAAAUGCCCCUCAAAGUAUGCAAUCAGAGUGAGUCAUGCUUUCUCGCUCACUCUCACGCGAGAGCGAGAUAAAGUAGAAUCGCAGAACAACGGGCGAAUCGAUCGUCAAAAAGGUUUGCUCUCGAUCGUCGUCCUCGACCCCUCGAUACUAACCAUGAUCGGCGUGAUUGUUUCCAUCGUUGGCUUUGCUCCCCUUCUGGUUUUUGCUCGCUGUCGUGCUUCCAUCGCUGUUUUUGCUUCCUUUGGGCUUCCGUUUGCGCGACUGUAAAACAACAAAAUGCCAGCGGACGGUUAACGUUGUGCAGCUUGUAGUAUAGCCCGCAAGCGUUACAUACCGGUUCACCGACCUGAUUGCGGCGCCAGAGCGAAGUGUUGGUCGUGUUGCAGUUUGAACACUGCAGUCCCGUUCGUCUAGCCG